rnacentral:rRNA from 1 species
GAUGAACGCUAGCUACAGGCUUAACACAUGCAAGUCGAGGGGAAACGAUGAGAGAGCUUGCUCUCUUAGUCGUCGACCGGCGCACGGGUGAGUAACGCGUAUCCAACCUGCCUCUGACCAAGGGAUAACCCGUCGAAAGUCGGACUAAUACCUUAUGCAGUCGUCGGAAGUCAUCUGAUGACGACGAAAGAUUUCAUCGGUGAGAGAUGGGGAUGCGUCUGAUUAGCUUGUUGGCGGGGUAACGGCCCACCAAGGCGACGAUCAGUAGGGGUUCUGAGAGGAAGGUCCCCCACAUUGGAACUGAGACACGGUCCAAACUCCUACGGGAGGCAGCAGUGAGGAAUAUUGGUCAAUGGGCGUAAGCCUGACCCAGCCAAGUAGCGUGCAGGAGGACGGCCCUAUGGGUUGUAAACUGCUUUUAUGCGGGGAUAAAGUGAGGGACGUGUCCUUCAUUGAAGGUACCGAAUGAAUAAGGACCGGCUAAUUCCGUG